GCACCUGGAUUUAUGAAGGAUAAAUAAAAGUUAGAGUCGGUUCAGAGAAGGACAAAAAAGAAAUGGAGCAUUGGAAAGGUUGAGAGAGCUGGGUGUAAUCAGUCUGGUGAAGAGAAGUCUGAGCCUGGGUCUACACUGGCCUAUAUCCCAGGAUCUGAUCCCAGAUUAUCUGCUUAUCCCAAAUUAACUGGCAGUGUAGACUCAUAUAAUCCAUUCAAAGCAGAUAAUCUGGGAUCAGAUACUGAGAUAUAGGCCAGUGUAGAUCCAACCUGAGAGGUGAAAUUAUUUUCCUCUAGUUUUCUAAAAAGCUAUCACAGAGAGGAGGGCACAGGUGUGUUAUUUGCUGACCCAGAGGAUGGAGCUGGAUCUAAUGGUUUCAAGGUCUCCAUUGAACAUUAGAAGGAAUGUCUUGAUGAUAAUAGCAGUUUGGCAAAGGAAGCAAUUACCUAGAUAGAUCGUUGGGUUUCUUUCUGUAGACACUUUCCAAAAGAGGCUAGACAGCUAUCUGCUGAAAAUGUGCCAACUGGAAAUCCUGCAUUGAGAAGGAGGAUGGACCCAAUGGGUACAUCUAAACUAUAGAAUGAAUAUAGUUCGACAUCACUUCAACUGCCAUGGUUAUAAUUUUACAAAGCAUGUAGCCUUCUCUGUCUAAGUGUGCUGGUCCAAGCCAUGGCAGUUAGUGAUGUCCAGCUGCAUUAAUUCAACAAUGUAAAUGCAGCAAAUGACCUGUUUUUCCAACUUGUUCAUUCUUUGAUUGUAUAUUCCAAAAUUUGUUUAACUGAAGCAAUUAUCUAUCUUCCAAAUGUUCUUUAAAUAACAAUGCAAGUGCUGAAAGAAUAACAAAAUCAUGUUGUAAUUUCUGGAGUUCUAAACAUGAAUGCUAUGCUAAACCAAGUGGGUAGUAACAGCACCAACCACAAUUAGAUUCCGAGAAAUACUGCAAGAUUUGCUGUCGAAAGUCUGUCUGAGGAGCUAUUCACAUUAGCUCACUCUUUUUUCUUUUAAUUGAGGAAGAAUUUAUAGAACUGCAAUAUUACAGAUAUCUUUUUAUAGUUCCGUGCCUUCAUUUGGUUGGAGGUCUUUCAUUUAUUCUGAAGCACCGUGGACUUUCAGAACCGCUCCACUACACAGUAAGAGAAGCUGCAGCUUUAAGAUAGCUCUAAUUUUUGUAUCUGAUAACCCUAGGCCUGGGUUUUUAUUAAGUUUCUCCCUCCUUUGUUCCUUUAUACUUUGUUAGAAAACUGAGCCUAGCUCAUUUAACUGAGGUGGAAAUUUUUGUAGAUAAAAUUAUAGCUUGCAUCUCCAGUUAUGGGCAGAGUAGAUCGUCUGCUUGAGAAAAUGCAAACGAUAGUCAGAUGAAAUGCAAAUUGUUAAGGAUAGAAAAGAAGAGCAUAAAUAGUUUAAAUGUGAUGCAAUAGUGGAACAUUCAUCAACUAUAAAGCUCAUUUUCAGUUCCUUUGGAAAUUUAAUAUGGGUCAUGACAGUUAACAUUUCUUAAAUGUAUUGUUUUCAGUAUUUCUUAAUUCCUCCCUUCACAUCUAUGUGAACUAAAUGCCAUAAAACAAUUUAGAGGAAUCGCUGGGGAUUUAAGGCCAAUUCUAUUCAAACAGACAAUUGGCAGAAAGAGAACAUAUCCCACUCUCAUAGUCAAGGGUGCCUAAUUCACAGUCAUUGCUUUCUCUUGAUGAAAGUACGCAUAUACAGACAAACAUACCGGUUUAAGGGUCUGCCUACACUGUAGAAUUAAUGCAGUUUGACACCACUUUGACUGACACGACUCAAUGCUAUGGAAUCAAGGGAACUGUAUUUUGCUGAAGCCCCAACACUCUUUGGCAAACUAUCUACACAAAUCAGCUUCUAGACUAGAGAUUAAAAUAUCAUCCACACACACCCAUAAUUUCACUGAUGAAAAUGGGGGCAUGUGUGGCCAAGUAACAUCUAAGUGUGGCCAAGAUUGAUAAAGUUAUUAAUGAGGAAGAACACAUAAGUUAGGAGAGGCAGAAGCAGGUUCCCUUUGCCAAAGCCCCUUGGGAAGGAAAAGGAAGCUGGAGGAAGCAUCUUAAUCAUUUUCUCCUCUUUCGAUUCUACUUCCAAAUGCUCUUCCAGUUGCUUUUAGUUAUGUGAGCCUAGUAGAUCACAUAGGUAAUACGACUCCAACACCGAAUAAGCCCAGGUGAUGUAUAAAGAAAGAUAUAGGCAAACACUUCACUCCUGUUGUAGAUCUUCCUCUAUGAAUCUAAAGUAGGUUGUCGAAGGCUUUUAUGGCCGGAAUCACUGGGUUGUUGUGAGUUUUCUGGGCUGUAUGGCCAUGUUCUAGAAGUAUUCUCUCCUGACGUUUCACUCACAUCUAUGGCAGGCAUCCUCAGAGGUUGUGAGGUAUAUUGGAAACCAAGCAAAGGAGAUUUAUAUAUCUGUGGAAGGUCCAGGGUGGGAGAAAGAACUCUUGUCUGUUGGAGGCCAGUGUGAAUGUUGUUAUUAAGCACUUUGGUUAGCAUUAAUGGCCUUGCCAGCUUCAAGGCCUGGCUUCUUCCUUCCUUUGUUCGCAAGUGUUAGCUGGCCCUGAUUGAAUCAUGCCUGGAAUUCCUCUGUUUUCAGAGUGUUGUUAUUUAUUUACCAUUCUGAUUCUAGAGGUUUUUUUAAUACUGGUAGACAGAUUUUGUUCAUUUUCAUGGUUUCCUCCUUUCUGUUGAAAUUGUCCACAUGCUUGUGGAUUUCAAUGGCUUCUUUGUGUAGUCUGACAUGAUAGUUGUUAGAGUGGUCCAGCAUUUCAGUCUAAAGUGGAUUUACACAUGGCAAAAUAAUGAGAAAGAAAAAGUUGAUGCUCCUGUCCACAUGAUCUGUACUUGAUUAACCUAAUGAAUAGUCUGAACAAUAAAGUUAACUAUGUUGUUAACCAUCAAACUGGAAUAAUAGGCAAGUUACAUAAGCUUCAUGUACAGGAUGUCAUUUUGUUGUUUUUAAAUCUUGAUGAGGAAGAUGCAUAGAAAUGGAAUUAUAUAACCCCUUCCUUUCUUUUUAUCCAUGGUUUAGGAAGGAUAGUAAAGUUAGUAAUUUCAGGGUGGACUAUAGUUACCUUUAUUUGAGGUGUCACAAAAAGUAUGCAAAUGGAUAAUUAUUCACUGCAUUUGAAGAAGCAUUUGUGGUUUUUUCUCACUUACAUGCCAAAAUAAUUUGAUCUAUCAUGGGAAACAAAACAUAUUGACUUGGAGUCCUCGUGGACAACAAGUUAAACAUGAGCCAGCAAUGUGAUGCGUCAGCUAAAAAGGCCAAUGGGAUUUUGGUCUGCAUAAAUAGGAGUAUAGUGUCUAGAUCCUGGGAAGUCAUGCUUCCCCUCUGUUCUGCCUUGGUCAGACCACACCUGGGAUACUGUGUCCAAUUCUGGGCACUGCAAAUGAGGGGAGAUGUUGACAAGCUGGAAAGCGUCCAGAGGAGGACGACUAAAAUGAUCAAGGGUCUGGAGAACAAGCCCUAUGAGGAGCAGCUUAAAGAGCUGGGCAUGUUUAGCCUGCAGAAGAGAAGGCUGAGAGGAGACAUGAUAGCCAUGUAUAAAUAUGUGAGGGGAAGUCAUAGGGAGGAGGGAGAAAGCUUGUUUUCUGUUGCCCUGCAGACUAGGACGAACAAUGGCUUCAAACUACAGGAAAGGAGAUUCCACCUGAACAUCAGGAAGAACUUCCUCACUGUGAGAGCUGUUCGGCAGUGGAAUUCUCUGCCCUGGACUGUGGUGGAGGCUCCUUCUUUGGAGGCUUUUAAGCAGAGGCUGGAUGGCCAUCUUUCGGGGGUGCUUUGAAUGCGAUUUCCUGCUUCUUGGCAGGGGGUUGGACUGGAUGGCCCGUGAGGUUUCUUCCAACUCUAUUAUUCUAUUCUAUGAUUCUAUGUGAUGUGUGAGCUAUUUCUUUCCUUCCUUAGACAGCAAGGUGUCUUGGGACAGCUCUAAGUAAGGUUUAGGUUACAGACUUGACACUAAACUGCAGUCACUUGUUGCAUUGGAGACAGAAGAGUCUGAGAGCAACAGACUCCAUUUAAUUGCUUAAGUGUAGUUUCUCAUUGCAUCCAACCAGCUCAUUGACUCUUCUUAAAUAUAUGUUUUAAUGUAUGAAAGCAUUCUGCUUCCUUCAUAAUAACAGCUUCCUCUGGAAUGGGUAGAAUAAUCCCUUUUGAACAAACAACUAGAGUAAAGUUUCAUUACACAGUCAAUAGCAUCCUGGGUGCUUGGUAAAGCUUUAAUUUCAGCAUCCUUUAAGCCUUUGCUGACAGUCUUGUGCUAGAUUUUAAAUCACACUGACGACCUCUGAGCCAGGAGGUCACAGCUGUUAAUGUCAAAUGCAAGGUGAAUAAAUGAUGGAUGAGCAUGUAUUCAGAUACAUUUCUGCCACAGUGUACUUCUUAUACAUCAAAUAAAAGUGGUGAUUCUCUACUGCAUGACAAUACUUUAAUUGUUGUGACAUAUCCAUUUGUGAAAGCCCAGCGGUUUCAGAAAAUAAAACUGACGUUCUUGAACAUCUCUCUGCAACAUUUCUACAGUCUCCUCUCAAUAUCCAGAUAAAUGCAGAUAAGUUAAUAUCGUUCUUUGGUAGAUCAUGAUUUGGUUCAACUGCAGGCAUGUGGCAAUUUAAAAUAUCAUUUACAGCACUAUCUGGGAAAAGCUUUUCUAGUGUUUUCACUUUAGCCCAACACUUUAAUCUAGGAUGCAUCUAAACUGAAUAAUUAAUGCAGUUUGACACCACUUUAACUGUCAUGGCUCAAUGCUAUGGAAUCCCGAGAGUUGUCUAAAGACCACCACCCUGGCAAAGAAGACUAACAACUAUCUUGUAAAGCUACACCUUCCAUGAUUCCAUAGCAUUGAGCCACAGCAGUUAAAAUGGUGUCAAGCUGCAUUAAUUCUACAGUGGAAAUGCACCCUUAAUUUUUCCCUAAGCUCAAAAAUAACCAUCUAUCAUGUGGCUGGGACUACUUCAGUUACAUUAAGAUCUGCAUUUGGAGAUCAUUAUUAGUACAUUGGCUAUUGUUUAAGUUAUCCUUAAUCACUCAUGUGGAGCUGAUCAGUUGCAGCAUGAAAAAUAGCAAUUAGCAUUUUAAAUCCCCCUUCAAAUGUAUGCCUAACAUCCAUGUUGAUUAUGAGCUGUUUCUGACCACAAACUUUUGUUCUUUUCCCCCACCCCAACUGUGAAAUCUCAAAAUAUUUUCCCUCUUAUUGGAACAGUUUCCAUCUGGACUAUUCAACUGUGAACUCCAGAAGUAAAAUAUUUCAUUGAAAGGGAAUAAAACAACUCCCAAUUUUCUGUACAGUUUCUUAAAAAAAUGACAUCAAUUAAUUUAAUCUUUUGUUGUUGUAUUCUUCUGUAUUAAAUAGGAACCCAUGUGUAUACACGCUGAGCCAAAAGAGCUUGUGGUUGACAACAAUGUUUGGCAUAAGUUUAGAAGGAAUGUCAGGAAAGACAACUGGGUUGCAAGAUCUGAAGAUUGGACAAAGGAUUUUAGUGCAGAAAAGCUUACUUCAACUACUGCAAACAAAUUCAAAGAGCAAAAGUAAUUUGCUUCCAAUUAACAGAUGGGAGAGAUGAGAAGAGCACAACAUUUUGCCUUUCCCAGUAGGCUCAGGCAAAGAACACAGCUGCAUUCUGUCCUAGUUUGGGUGUUUUCCCUCAUUAAUAACUUUUGCUACCUUGACAACCUGAUGUUGCUCAGUCAUGUAUUGCAAUUUUCAUCUAUGAAGUUUUGGAGAAUAGGAAAUAUCAACUGUCCUUCCUCAGUUGUUGUGUGCCUUAAAGUCAUUUCCAUACCCUAAGGUGAGCCUAAGAAUAUUGGUUUAGAAGACGAUUGCUUCGUCUUGGACAGAGAGAGUGUGACCUGUGCAAGGUCACCCAGUAGGUUUCAUAGUGAGUAGGGAUCUGAAGCCUUGUGAGAUACAUUUCUGAGUGGAUAUAUAACCUGGAAGUCAGUACCGGGUUGGGCGGGGGGAGGGAAGCUGAAAUAUUUCCCUAGUAUCAUUAUAGAUACAUAGAAACUAUACACUGAGAAAGAAUUCUUCAUUUAAAGUAGUAUGCAUGAAUGGCUGCUUAAUAUUUUAUUAACAGUUCACAGCGUGUGCAAAUGAACUUCCUACUAGAAGGAGUUAUUAUCCAUGCAUAUAAACUGGGAAUCCAAAGCCUCCAAUUUUCUUUCUCCCCAGCUUUCUUACCAAACAGAUAAAAAUAACAGGAAUGCUCUGGAAUGACAAGAAUACUCUUAUUAACUACCCAUGAUUAGGUUCACCAGAUGUCACACAUUUUCCCACCAUGACAAUCCAUUGUAUAGUCCACUUUUAAAGAUCUUGCACCAUCUUGGAAUGUUACCAAAAUUGCCAUAUCUUGAAAGUGCAAAAAGGAGUUUGCUCUAAACUCAACAGAAGGACAAUCUUGUCUUUCCCGGCAGGCUUAGGCAAAAACAAACAGCUGCACCCUCUCCUAGCUUCUGGUUCUUAUUAAUACCAUUUUGGAUCACACUGAUGUUCCUUGGCCACGUAUGUCCUGAUUCUCAUCUUUGAAAUGUUGGAGGGUAUGAUACUGUUGUUUCUCACAGUAUUGUUUAUUAUAUUAUUAGCACUUUGACAGUUAUCUAUUUGGAGCCCCCCCUCCCUAACUUUGGGUCACAGUUGAUGUUUUGCUUAAUUAGAGACACUUCCAUAUUUCCUGUUGUUUGGACACAAGGGGUUUUCCAGUGGGGACCCUUUCACACUCCAUUACAAUGCUAUGAUCUUUGAUAAAAGUAUUGUGAAUAUUUGUGCAGGCUUAAGUGCAAGGCCCUAUGGUGUUUACAACGCCACCAAAAUGUUUAGAAAAUAUUUUUUAUGAAUGGCAUUGCUUCCCAUUAAAACAAAAACAAAAACGGAGCCUGCUCACUGGCCAAGAAUUGUGGUCUAUCUGUUGAAGGUGAAGAAUUGAAAAUCAAGGAAGUUGGGGAGUUGGACUUCAGUGGGAAGAAUCUUAAAUAGCACCUAUUUACCAAUAUCCUAUAGUACCAAGCAUAACAUAACAAUUCUGCAGACACUACACUAUAGACCUUUUCUCACUGUCCUUAGGACUCACUGCUAUACUCUGGUUUCUCUUCAAAUCAUAUAAAUCUUUCGCCUUUUAAGGACUCACUGCUUCAUUGCAUUAGUCACUCUCCAUCCUAAGAGAUCUAUGUAGGAUGGUAGAUGAUAGGGUGACUUGGAGGUCUUCCUUUCCUAUGGUUGUCAUCCAGUGAGCAGCUGAUCAGAGAAAUAUUUGGCUAUGUCCCUGUAACCAGGCACAGAAAGAGGAAAUUGUCCACUGAAAUCCACUAGGGUUCUGAGAAGGUUUCAAGGUAUAAGGGCAUUGUUUUUGUAUGGAAGGCUGAAAUACCCUAAAGUCACUAUGCUCUGUCUGAUCUUGGGAGAUACGCAGGGUCAGUCCUGAUUAGUACUUGGGUGGGAGACCAAUGAAUACCAAAUUUCAGAGAAAGGAACUGGCAAAACGACCUCUGAUUAUUCCUUUCCUAAGAAAACCCUAUGAACUCCAUGAAGUCACCUGGUGAUGUGAAGGCACACACAUACAGAUACGAAUGUCAAAUGCUUCUUUGAUCUACUCCCUACUCUCCACUAGUCACUGACAGGUUAUGCAGAAAAGACCAUCACAACAAUAUUGUGAUUCCUGGGUGAGCUUUGUUAGUUGCAAAGUGAAACGCAUAGACAGGCAAGCCCUAAGCUGGAUGGUUGAUGGCAAGGUGACUUCUGACUUAUGGCAAGGCAACCCUAUGAAUGAGAGAUAUCCAAGUUGAAUUCAACUUGAUGACAGGUAACAAAGAAUUGGAUCCUGGUGAUGGUUUUUCCUCAAUGUAGAAAGGUGCUCAAAUGUCUUUUGGACUGAAACUUGAAUAUCCUUUCUUUAUUACCCCCCAGGCCUUAGAGGCUGAAUUGCUAAUGCUAAAACCCCAUUCACAGCCAGAUGUCAUUGUGCGUUGGCUCAUUUGACAUCUCUUACAUGCAUCUCAGUCCCACAUUUUCCCUUGCUUGCAUCUUUCAGCAAAAUUUAGGCCAAGUUCUCUUUCUCUGCCAUCGGCAAUAUUCCCCUUUUAGCUGCAAGGCUCUUGUCCAAUUAAUUACAGAGUUCUUGUCAGCAUCAUGAGCCUGUGCCUUUGGUCCUGUACAAAUAGCUUUAGUGGUCAUAUUUCUCCCUCAUCUGAUCUGUACAGAAUCAAGAUGGCAAUGUUUUUUUUAAUGGUGUCAGAUUUGAAGUCUUUCAAAGGGAGAAAGCCUACAGGGCCACUGGGAUUUCAUUUGGAUAGGAAGCAACAAAUUUAGAUUCUUCUCCAAUAGAAAUCAUGCAUUUUCAAAUAGAUUUGCAGACUGUCAAAUGCCUUCCCCUCCUUUUGAGAUUUGUUUUCAAUACAGUUACAAACAAGAUAGAUUCUGUAGGUUUAUUCUUAAAUUGAAUUUGUAUAUAAGUAAGCAAUUUGUAUGUAUGAAUGUGUAUGUAAGUAAAGGCCAGGCUGUGGCGCAGGCUGGAAAGCAAGCCAGCUGCAACAAAUCACUCUGACCAAGAGGUCAUGAGUUCGAGGCCAGCCGUGCCUGCAUCUUGUCUCUGUCUCUGUUCUAUGUUAUGGCAUUGAAUGUUUGCCUUUAUGUGUGCAAUGUGAUCCGCCCUGAGUCCCCUUCGGGGUGAGAAGGGCAGAAUAUAAAUGCUGCAAAUAAAUAAAUAAAUAAAUAAAUAAAUAAGCACAUGUACAUUUUUAAGUAUAACUCCAGUCAAAUACACACACACACACACACACAUGCUUUGGGUAGCAUA